rnacentral:rRNA from 1 species
AGAGUUUGAUCAUGGCUCAGGACGAACGCUGGCGGCGUGCUUAACACAUGCAAGUCGAGCGGAAAGGCCCCUUCGGGGGUACUCGAGCGGCGAACGGGUGAGUAACACGUGAGGAACCUGCCCUUGGCUCUGGGAUAGCUCCGGGAAACCGGGAUUAAUACCGGAUACGACCACCGUCGGCCUCGACGGUGGUGGAAAGAUUUAUCGGCUAGGGAUGGUCUCGCGGCCUAUCAGCUUGUUGGUGAGGUAACGGCUCACCAAGGCGACGACGGGUAGCCGGCCUGAGAGGGCGACCGGCCACACUGGGACUGAGACACGGCCCAGACUCCUACGGGAGGCAGCAGUGGGGAAUAUUGCGCAAUGGGCGAAAGCCUGACGCAGCAACGCCGCGUGGGGGAUGAAGGCCUUCGGGUUGUAAACCCCUUUCAGCAGGGACGAAGCGAAAGUGACGGUACCUGCAGAAGAAGCGCCGGCUAACUACGUGCCAGCAGCCGCGGUAAUACGUAGGGCGCAAGCGUUGUCCGGAAUCAUUGGGCGUAAAGAGCUCGUAGGUGGUCUGUUACGUCUGCUGUGAAAACCUAGGGCUUAACCCUGGGCCUGCAGUGGAUACGGGCAGACUAGAGGUAGGUAGGGGAGAAUGGAAUUCCCGGUGUAGCGGUGAAAUGCGCAGAUAUCGGGAGGAACACCGGUGGCGAAGGCGCUCUGGGCCUUCCUGACACUGAGGAGCGAAAGCGUGGGGAGCGAACAGGAUUAGAUACCCUAGUAGUCC